rnacentral:siRNA from 1 species
GAGUGUCUCUAUGCAAUCGAGUA